AGGAUAUGUGAAUGAUAGCCGUUGGAUCUGUGGAGUUUGGGUUAACCUAACAGGGGUCACUCAGAUUAGGUCAUUUGCAGCCUCUCUCUCUGUCGAGUCUCGACCCUCUCUUCCUCUCGAUCUCUUCCUCUCUCUUCCUCUCAGAACCAAACCCAGCCCCAAUCCAAUCCCAACAACAGUCGAUUAGAUCGCUCAUUGAUGCGAACCUCACCAACAUAAGCUUCAACCCAGAUUGAGUUUCCUUUUUGAAAUCCCCAAAUCGUUCGACGAACCCUAGACUGUUCCUCUCUCUUCCUCUCAGAACCAACCCAGCCCCAAUCCAAUCCCAAAAACAACAAUCGAUCAUUGAUGCGAACCUCACCAACAUAAGCUUCAACCCAGAUUGAGUUUGAUUUUUGAAAUCCCCAAAUCGUUCGACCAACCCUAGAUCAGUUGCUUCACUUGCUUCACUUGCUUGGUUGAAGUGGUUGCUCAGAGACUUAUACGGUGUUCAAUUGGUGUUUCCGAGCACAAAUAAUUAGGAAAGUCCUUUGAAGCUUGAAGGUAUUGACCAUGGAUUUUAGUUGAGGCUUUAUCAGUUUAUCCUGAGGCAGGGAGGUGAUCGAGGUCUUUGAUUAGACCAUGGCUUCUAGAAGUAGGUCAGGAAGUAAUUGUUGUUCAUCUCCUUCCAUAACUUCAAACAUGGUUACUGGAAGUUAUCAAUCUGUUAGUGUUUCCCCAAAUGAUAACCAAAACCCUUUACCACCAGUAGGUAACUUACCACCAAUAGAUAAUAGUACCCCAAC